rnacentral:rRNA from 1 species
GAUGAACGCUGGCGGCGUGCUUAACACAUGCAAGUCGAACGGAGAGGACGUACCUUUGUGUGGUGCUCGAGUGGCGAACGGGUGAGUAACACGUGAGUAACCUGCCCCUGACUCUGGGAUAACCUCUGGAAACUGCGGCUAAUACUGGAUAGGUGACCCUGCUGCAUGGUGGGCGUUGGAAAGUUUCGUCGGUUGGGGAUGGACUCGCGGCCUAUCAGCUUGUUGGUGGGGUAGUGGCUUACCAAGGCCUUGACGGGUAGCCGGCCUGAGAGGGUGACCGGCCACACUGGGACUGAGAUACGGCCCAGACUCCUACGGGAGGCAGCAGUGGGGAAUAUUGCACAAUGGGCGGAAGCCUGAUGCAGCAACGCCGCGUGCGGGAUGACGGCCUUCGGGUUGUAAACCUCUUUCGGCAGGGACGAAGCGAGAGUGACGGUACCUGCAGAAAAAGCGCCGGCUAACUACGUG